GCGCGCGAGAGGAGGAAGUGACCCAAAUGCAGGCAGAGUGGACCAGAGUAGGCAGUGGCUUCCUUUAUUGGGAGUCAAUGGGGCGAAGAACCGGAUUGGAGAUGUAAAGGAGGAAGAAGGGAAAGUGCUAAUGCUAAAACUAUCCUACACUGUGGAAUUUGACAGCACUUCAGCUGCCAUGGCUCAGUGCUGUGGCAUCAUGGGAGCUGUAGUGUUAUGGCAUCUUCAACCUCCUCUGCCAAAGUGGGCUGGUGUCUCACCAAACCACAGCUCCCACUAUUCCAUAAUAAAUCUGAGAUUUGUAAAUAAAUACUGUAAAUAAAAUUUCCCCCAUUUUUGUUCUCACUAGACUCAACUAGAGGAAGAAUCCUGUUGUAUCUAGAAUGGCUGAGAAGAAACCUUCAGGAGGGCAGCAUCUCCUGCUGUUGCUGAUCAUCGCUGUUGCCUUCACGCACUUAGCCGUUUGUCCCUUUACAAAAGUAGAGGAGAGUUUUAAUCUACAGGCCAUCCAUGACAUCCUAUAUCACAAGCUGGACUUGGAGAAGUAUGACCAUCAUGAAUUUCCUGGAGUCGUCCCGAGAACAUUCCUUGGUCCGAUUUUUGUUGCUUUGCUUUCCAGCCCAGCCAUAUAUGUGUUGUCCCAGCUGCAAAUGUCUAAAUUUUACUCCCAGCUGAUAGUCCGAGGAAGCCUGGGCUUGAGUGUGAUUUAUGCCUUGUGGCGGUUGCACAAAGAAGUCAGAAAGCAGUUUGGCUCAACAGUGUCCUUGAUCUUCUGUCUGAUAACUGCUUCUCAAUUCCACCUGAUGUUUUACUGCACUCGAACUCUCCCUAAUGUGUUUGCACUUCCUAUCGUUCUACUGGCAAUUACAUAUUGGAUACAGCAAAAGCACCAUCUGUUCAUCUGGUUCUCAGCUUUGGCAAUUAUUGUCUUCAGAUCAGAACUUUGCAUAUUUCUGGGCCUUAUGCUUCUUCUGGCCCUCUUCAAUAGAAGACUGUCCUUUGUGAAAAUGCUCUCCUAUGCUAUUGCUGCAGGGACAUUUUGGUUAGGAAUUACGGUGGUCUUGGAUUCUGUGUUUUGGAAGCAGCUUUUGUGGCCUGAGGGGAAGGUGCUUUGGUAUAACACAGUUUUAAAUAAAAGUUCCAAUUGGGGAACAUCUCCUUUUCUGUGGUAUUUUUAUUCAGCCUUGCCUCGUGCUAUGGGAUGCAGCAUUAUUUUUAUACCAUUAGGUGCAGGAGACAAAAGAACUCGAAUAUUAAUUCUACCGGCACUUGGUUUUGUUUUCCUGUAUUCCUUUCUGCCCCACAAAGAACUACGGUUUAUUAUAUACACUUUUCCAGUCUUCAAUAUAGUGGCCGCCAAAGGCUGCUCACGGAUUCUUAACAAUUACAAGAAAUCUUGGCUAUAUAAAUUAGGCUCUCUCUUUGUGAUAGUGCACCUCUUCGUUAAUACUGCUUACUCAGGAGCUUCGCUCUAUGUCUCACACUUCAAUUACCCUGGAGGAGUUGCCAUCCAAAAACUACACCAAUUAGUACCUCCAACAGCAGACGUUUCUGUCCAUAUCGAUGGGACUGCAGCACAGACGGGAGUUUCUCGGUUUUUAGAAGUCAAUUCGAAUUGGAAGUAAAGAAUCCUUCCAAACUGUGUGGUUUUGGAACCAUUGUUUUCUCAUUUUGAAUGCAUGAGUCUUCUUGGUAUGACAAAAGGGAAGACCUUAAACCAGGUGACCCCGACAUGUUUUUGUAUACACAUUUACUAAUGGAAAUGGACCCUGUUCAAAUAUCGCAUUAUAAGAUGACCCACAGAGUCCUGGCACACAUCCCUGGCACCAGUGGAAUUGGACUGAAUUUUACUGCACUACCUCCUAUUACUUUGAACUUGAAAUCCAAACUAGUACUACUGGAAAAGCGUCCUACUUCUUCUGGAACAUAAACAUUAAGAGACUUGACCUUUAUUUUCUUCUGAAACUUAAUUGUAUUUGAUGUAAAAUUAUAACUCACUGGCUAUGAACACUACAUACGUAGUUUCAUUCAUUUUUUAUGGUCUGUGUAUACACAGCUGGCACUUUGUAUUGUGUCAGAUAUACACGUGUGUGCACACAUGGACACACAAUGGUGUAAAUAUAUUUCAAUGAAAUGAAACUUUGAUUUAAAAAAGAAUGCAGAAGAACUAUGUACCAUGUAUUUUGCAAAAGGGGAGGUAUAAUUUAACUUAACCUAGUGAAAUACAUUUGAUGUUUCUUUUUACAUAAUUCAGCCUCUGUGAGUAUGUAUAUGUGGUUGAACUGAAUUCUAGUAUUUUCCCCAUACUCCAUAAUUUAGAGGAAAAAAACCUAUAUUACUUUGGGGGCAACAGGUAAUCCACUCUGGACUCUUUGCACUUUUCUUUCAAGCUAUACUUUGGGACUGGAAUUACAACUACCUGCCAAGUGUUUGAAACAUAGAAGCAGGCAUCACACUUGAAUAGCACCUACAUGUGAUAUGCCCAGCAUGCAUCAGCCAAACAUUUAGUGGAUCCUUGUUAUCUGCUGGAGUUUGGUUCCAGGACCCCCCUUUAAUACCAAAAUCCAUGGAUGCUCAAGUCCCAUUAUGUUAUACAAUUUUGUAAUAAAAUAUUUUUUAAUAUAAAAUUACGAACAACUCUUGCUUUUUGGAUUUUUAAAAACAUAAAGCAGUAACUGAUUGAAUUUAUAUAUACAGACUCAUGAAUAUGGAAGAUCGACUGUAGUAUAAUUUUGAUAAUAUACUUGUCUAUAACACUGACCAACACAUAUUUUGGUACCUCAAACAUUAACUCAGUUUCUGGGUCUGGUUGGCUGAUUCCAAAAAUAAUCCCAGGAACAGGCCUAAAAACCUAGACACCAAGGGAAAAAUUGUCAUGUGGUGUAAUAUAAUUUACAAGUAUAUAUAUUCACCUCUCUCAAUCAGUAUCUAUGCCCAAGCAGCAUGAUUUAAUGUUUCCCACAAAAUCUGGGGAUGGGCUGUUUUGCAUGCAUAUCUAUGUUUAUAUAUAGGGGAUGGAUAUAGCCUUCCAUUUGGUAAGAUGUUUGAACCCUUGUUUCACUAUUUCUUCAUAGAAUGGCCAUUCUUUGGCGAUCAAAAAAGUCAUCCUGUUAGGCACUUUUAAGCACAAAAGGUUAGAGAGGAAGGGAGAAAAAAGUGUGGCAGUACCUUUAAGACUAACUGGUUUUUGUUUUAGCAUGAGGGUUCAAUCAGAUAUCAACCCUCUUCUUUGGACCACUUGGUACUGCAGAUGAACUGGGUAUAUAGCCACAAAGAGUGAUGCUAAAAUAAAACUCAAUUGAUUUAAUAGUGUUGCCACAUUUCCUUUUCACUGAUGUUCCUUCCUUUUUAUAACUGGAAUCAAGUGGUCACCAAAAGUGUGAGAAAUAGGUUUUUUUUGUUUGUUUUUUAAACUAAAACAAAGCCAUGUAGCCUAUUGGUGAGAACAAUCUGUCCUUGCCUGACAAUGUUUUAAACAUUGUAAGCCAUUUUAGGAAUGCCACAUUAAUAAUGUGAAAAAUUUAAGUAUUCAAAGAACUGAUACUUAACCCAAAAUGUUUUCUAUAAAUAGAUAUUUAAUUAAUUUUAAUUAAAUGUUUCAGUGUGUUUUAUGUGAUGGCAAACUUCCAGAACAGGCAUGUGAUUUGAUCUUUUUAAGGAAGCCACUUGUGUGAUUAUAUAUUGUUUUCUCAGGACCACUGCUUCAUGUAAAUCUUCAAGGAUUCAUAAGAAGAGCUGUGAUAUUCUGUGGCUGAUAAUGGAAAGUAUUAGUAUUGCACCGCUCACCCCCAAAAGCAAGUACUUGGUACAAACGUAUUUCCUUCAUUUAUCCAUUGCAUUAAUAUGUUAUAUGUGGGGGAAAGCAUUGCUGUUCAUAAUGUUGGGUGUAGUCUGGCACAGAAUGAAUACGCUGCAGAUUUACCUGGUGCAGUAAAUAACAGCUUGUAAAACCAGUUCAUCCACACUGCCAGGCAGUUCUUCUGCAUAUUAUGCCACGUUUGAUCAAUUUUAUUGCUCAUCAAAAGAGAGUACCAUAAUAUGCCUUCCUUGAUGUAAAGUGUAUUUAUUCAAGUAUUCAUCAGGGGCUGGUGCCACUCAGGGCAGGCAAUUACAGCAGUCCCCAUUCAUGACUUUGGUGUUAGCAUAUCGCCCUGAAUGUACCCAAUUUUAGAACCCAAGCAAAGUCAAGCCAGGUUGACCUUCACCCUAUAGAUAGUUGAGAAAGGCAUUGAAGUAAGUUCACUUCCAGGCAUAAUGGAUCACGUUGAGCUAAAUUGCCCAGGGUUCGGGUUCAGUAUAAGACAGUGUCAUAUAUUUAUUUCAGAUUCAUGUAACACACAACCCAAUUUUUUUAAAAAUCAUGGUACCUUGGUUUUUAGGUUUGUUCAUGUGGUUAUCUGGGGCAAUUUUUUGGCCUGUUCAUGCCUUGGAUUGACUACAUUAGUUCUAGUUUCUUUGAUAUGGUUAUGAUCUUCUGUGGGCAAGCAGAUAAAGACUAGUAGAUGGCAUGUAUCUCAAAAUGAGAGCCGAUAGGAGAAAACUGGUGCCAUUAUUGGAAUCGGCAGGUCAAACAUACCAGAAACAGGACUAACAUUUGAAGCACCAAAAUGCUUGUUAACCAGUGUAUCCUUUUAAUUUUUAAACUAGGUUAGUGUUGCCAUUUUGUUUUGUUUUUUAAAAAACCUUCCUACAUCUUCAAAUAUUGCCAUUUGUAGUUGCCUCAUUUAAGGCAGGUAGUAUUUGGUGAUUCAGAUAAAUAAAAUAAUUAGCAAUCCUUUCAUUACAAAUGAGGGAUUAUUAAUUCUACUGGUCACUUUGACCCAUAUCCAAUAUCAUGCUGUUUUGUGGGAUACAACUGAGUGUCUUGACAAAGUAUUCGUCUCCAUUCGAUUCUCCACAUUUGGUCAUUAGAACCUUGAACUGAAAUUGAUUUAAUUGGCAUUGUUACCCUAUGAUUUAACAAAAUACUCAGCAUCGAAGGUGGUGUUUAUUUUAUUUUUUAAUUGUGGCCCGGAAGUUGAACAAGAACAAACCAGCACUUAUUGGCUGCAUUAAUUUACCUCUCUAAAUCAAUAAUUUGUAGAAGCAUUUUUGGUAGGAAGCAGAGCUGUGAGUCUCCUUGGGUAAACUCCGCGCAUUGGGACUAAUUUUUGUCAUCUUUUGGCAAAAUUGCUCUGAUUUCUGGAUGGGGGAACAACUGUCUUUCAGUACAUCAGCUUUUCAAGACUUGUCACAGGUUCUCAGUUGGAUUAAAGUCUAACAUUGAGUGGCCCAUGCUAAGACAUUCUAGUUCUUGAUUUUUAAAACCAGAGCCAUAUUACUUUUAGCUGUAUGCUUAGGGCCAUUGUCCUGCUAGAACCUCUUCCAUGGUCUCAGGUCCCUUGAAGACAAAAAGCUUUUUCCUCCCUAGAAUUGACUCUAUCCUGAUGAAUUUUCCAGUCCAUGCUGAGCAAAAGCAGUCUCAUAACUCUGCAUUGAAUGGUUAAUUUAGCACUUUAUUACUAGAAAAAGUACUUUCUACUUGAGACUAGAAAGUUCACUGUUAGUAUUCUCAAAUUAGAGAGACUUUUCUUACAGGUUUCCUCUGCAUCUUACAUGCCAUUUGCAAAGUCUCUUGACAUAGAUUUUUUUCAGUAAUUACAUUUUUAUGGUCACUUUUCUUAGUCCCAACUUUGUGGAGCCUGCCGGGUACAGUUAUUCCAUGUAAUUUCUCCCUUGUCAACUGCAGAUGUCCUAAGCUCCUUCAGAGUCAAAACUGGCUUUUUCCUUGGCUUUGACCAUGCCGUCCAUACCCACUCACUCAAUUUUUGUGAAGUGUUUUCUCUAGGGCAGAUUUGUAAUUGGGCCACAUACUUCCCAUAUUGCAAUAAUGCAUUUAAUAGUGCUCUGAAGGAUGUUCAUAAUUUGGGAUAUUUUUAAAUAACUCAUCCCUAAUUGAUGCUUCUCCAAAUUAUCCCAGACUUGUUUUGGUAGCUCCUUAGUCCUCAUAAAGUGGUUUGUUCAAAUACUCUCCAAUGUAGUCUGAGACAUAAUUUGCAAUCGUGUGGAACUGAAACUGCACACAUGCGGACUCCAUUCAAUUGCUUAUGUGAUUUUUGGAGGCAGUGAGUUGCACCAGAGCUAAUUUAGACAUGUCAUAGCAAGGGGGUGGGGGGAGCUAUGCAAACAUGUGUCACUUUGAACGUAUUUAGUAAAUUCAGUAUUGUGUAUCUUGCAUACAUUAAGAGUUGCAAUCAUGCCAGUUAAUUUCCAUUCCAAACUGUAAUAACAAAAUGUGGAAAAUUUAAACGCUAUGUAUGUUGAUAUAUUUGAAAGGCAAUGUGUAUGAGGGUGAACUUAAAAUCUAUUUUGAAACAAAUGCACACAAACUGAUCUUAUCUCUCUUUUUCAAAAUAAGUAAUGCAGUUCUACAUUUCUGCCUAAAUAGAAAAUGCAUAAAUAAAUCUGUACAUACAGCCUUG